rnacentral:tRNA from 1 species
GGGGGAUUAGCUCAGUUGGGAGAGCGCUUGAAUGGCAUUCAUGAGGUCAGGGGUUCAAGUCCCCUAUCCUCCA